ACUUGUCGACAUCUAAGUAGCCAGUCUCUGUGACCAGCAAUGCUAUUCACUAAAAAUCUACCGCAACGCUGCGCCCGCCGACGAGCUCUAGGCUGAUCAGCCUUGCGAACGACCGUGACUACAGCGCUGCGGUAAUUGGUAUUCACUAACGUGUCAAACCUCAUCGACGAACUGUAGGCUGUGAUAACUCGAGGCUGUGCGCACGGACGAGAUAGGGCUUGCAACAAAAACCGUAAAAUGAAAACGAUAACUGUAGAAAUAUAAUAUUUUAUUGACAAAUGGAAUGUUUUAUUCAGUUUAGAAUGUUAUUUAAAUAAAUAUUAUAUAAAAUAAACAUAAAUUUAUACAUCAAACAUUUGAUUUUGUUUUUUAAAGUUAAGAUUUGUUUGAAUACCCUUGCUUCCAUUGCCGUAAAAUAAACAAAUAACACUUAUACGUAGGUACGUAGAGAGUAUUAUAUUCCUUGUACUUAACAUUCCAGAGGCGCACUUUUUGUAUUUGUUUAUUCUCUUUUAAAAAUAAUUAAUAAAAUUAACGUAACUUUACCAACGUUUUAUAAGUUUGGAUGUAUCUAUCAAAUACGUCCACGCCGUCAUUUGACUGACAGUAUCCCGAUGACACUUAUCUCCUUCACAAUAGCAGCCUUAACUAGAAAGAGAGUAGUCUCACAAAGAUUUGUUGCCACUGAAGAGCACCGAGUAGAGACAGAACAAAUUUUGAUAGAGAAUCAGACAACACUAGUUCAUAUCUUAUAGCUAAUGAAUGAGAUAUGACUAAAUUAAAGUCAGCCAUUGUACGAUUUAAUUAAAAAAUUUUUUAAAAAAUGUCAAAUAAUUUUUAUUCAAUUAAAUUUAAAAUAUUAUAAAUGUUAAUUCUUUAUGAUUCUACCAUCCAUUGUGAAGAAGGGGAGAAACCUCAAUUUUGGUUUUUAAAAUACUAAUAGAUUUUACAAUAAUACAUUUCUAAAAAUAUACACUGCCAAACAUAACAAGAGUUAUUGGAAUUAUUAGUUAAAUCAAGUUCAUUAUUGAAAAUAUAAGAUUAAAUUAUGUCAUUUAAUAGUCAUUAGUAAUUUUGAAAUAUAAGUUUCAUCUUAUAUAAUUUUCAAAUAAAAACACAAUUACAAUAAAAUUUUAUAAUUAUAAACUUGUUUCAAUUUCAAAUAAAUAAUUUUUAAUGAAUAUUUUUUUUAAUUUCUUACUCCAUACGAGGUCUGUCCGGAAAGUUCGUAUAAAAGUGUUCUGGAAUGCGAGAAAGAGGAGUGGGGAGGCCAGGUAAGCGCAGGACCCCUUCCUUAUGUCCCUAACAAUGCUUCAGUUCUGGUCUGACCGCCGUGCGGUGCGAACUGGCUUGUCACGCCAUCUGUGAAGUUACCUCUUAACGAAACCCCGUCGGCAUGGAGCCCGCUUCCGUUGAAGAGCAGCGCGUCGUAAUCAAGUUUCUCUCGAAACUCGGCAAGAAUGGCCGUGAAAUUUUUGCCGAUCUCAGAACAGUUUAUGGGGAUGAUGCUGUGAAGGAACCAACCGUCCACAAGUGGCUAAAAAGAUUCAGAGAGGGCCGAGAAAGCAUCAAGAAUUCGUCCCUCCAGGCCAGACAGUUGAUGGAAAAUUCUACGUCGAUGUGCUCAGACGCCUCAAAGCUCGUGUGGCACGAGUUCGUCCAGAAUUGGCGCGAGAGGGGCGUUGGAUUCUUCACCACGACAAUGCCCCUGCCCACACCUCUCUUGUUGUCCGUGAGUUUUUGAGUAAAAAUUCCAUUACGGUGACCGAACACCCCCCCUAUUCGCCGGAUUUGGCCCCGUGUGACUUCUUCUUGUUCCCAAAAACCAAAUUGGUACUUCGGGGGCGGCAUUUGGGGGACAUAAAUGAGAUAAAAAAAGCUACGACGGGGCAGCUGAGAAACCUACAACCAGAGGACUUUCAAGGAGCCUUCUCACAGUGGAAACGGCGUUGGCACAAGUGCAUUAUGUCACAGGGGGAGUACUUUGAAGGGGAUAAAAUUGAUUUACCUGAAUAAUUGUAAAAUAAAAUUUUUAAAAAACUUUUAUACGUACUUUCCGGACAAACCUCGUACUAGUUAUAAUAUGAAUUAAUUAUAAUAAUUUUAAAUUAAAAUAUACAUUUACAACAUAAUAUAAUAUUAAUUUUAAUUCACAGGUAGACAAAAAUGUAACAAUAAAAAAGUAUUUGAAAAUAGUUUUAAGAUAUAAGUACAAAAAGUAUAGCUAGCUUAUUUUCAGACUACAAAAUUUUCUUUUGUGCUUCUUCAUUUUGUAUAGAUGAUGUAACUGCAUCAUAUUAUCAGCAUAUCACAAACAAUACAGCAAUACACUACUAUUAUUGUGGCUGUCCAAGGGUUUGUGUCAUGCUACUAAAUGAGUUUCAAAAUCACCUGAAAAAAAACAAGUAAUGUUAAUUAUUUUUAAUUAGCCACAUAGCCAAUCCUGAAUUUAUGUGUGUCAUGUUUUUUAAAACUAUGAUUUUGAAACAAUUUUUUAUAAUAGUUUCAACCUGAAUGCUAAAUUUAGUGGUCUAAUUUAACAAAAAUUAAUUGACAUGAAUUAAUAAUUUACUACAUGUUUAACUAAGUUGGUUUCUUUCUAACAUAUUAGACAUAGUUAUUUUUAUACAAAACCAGAGGCCACUAAGCUUAUGGAUCACCUAAUGGGAAACGGUUACCAUGAUCCAUGAAUAUUUGUAACACCAGAAGUAUUAUUAUGCAUACUAGAAUACUUGUUACACACCAUUAUUAACUAGCUAGUUGUUCCCUACACAAACAUCUGCUGACACAAUUAAGCUUGUCUCAAUAAAAUAAACAACUGCACACAAUCACUGCAAAGUAUUCUUUUUCCUGCUUUAAAUUUAUUUAUGUACCUAAUACCAUCAAUUAAUAAAAUUUAAGUUACAAACCUUUAGCUUUAACAACUCUCUGGAACAGGCAUACAUGGUGACAAUUCUUUUUCUAACAUAUUGAUUAAUUCUUCAGAAAGUCGGUAAUGAUGAAUAUAAUCCACAUCACAUAAAGUUGUUGAUUGUCGGCAUUUCUUACAAUCAUUUUCUAUUUUAGCUUCUUUCAACAAAUGGGUCAUUACACAUAAACGGGCAGCAAUCGUUUUUAAACACAAAUUGAUAAUUUCAAUACAAUUAAUAAUCACAGAAUUCAAGAAACAAAUAAA